UACGGAGGGGGCUAGCGUUGUUCGGAAUUACUGGGCGUAAAGCGCACGUAGGCGGAUCAGAAAGUCAGAGGUGAAAUCCCAGGGCUCAACCUUGGAACUGCCUUUGAAACUCCUGAUCUUGAGGUCGAGAGAGGUGAGUGGAAUUCCGAGUGUAGAGGUGAAAUUCGUAGAUAUUCGGAGGAACACCAGUGGCGAAGGCGGCUCACUGGCUCGAUACUGACGCUGAGGUGCGAAAGCGUGGGGAGCAAACAGG
rnacentral:rRNA from 2 species